UACGAAGGGGGCUAGCGUUGCUCGGAAUGACUGGGCGUAAAGCGCACGUAGGCGGCUCUUUAAGUCAGAGGUGAAAUCCUGGGGCUCAACCCCAGAACUGCCUUUGAUACUGAGGAGCUUGAGUCCGGGAGAGGUGAGUGGAACUGCGAGUGUAGAGGUGAAAUUCGUAGAUAUCAGGAGGAACACCAAUGGCGAAGGCAGCUCGCUGGGACGUGACUGACGCUGAGACGCGAAAGCGUGGGGAGCAAACAGG
rnacentral:rRNA from 1 species